CACCGGCGGCUCGAGUGGUGGCCACUUUUAUUGGGUCUAAAGCGUCCGUAGCCGGCUUGGCAAGUCCCCUGGGAAAUCUGGCGGCUUAACCGUCAGGCGUCCAGAGGAUACUGCCAGGCUUGGGACCGGGAGAGGUGAGAGGUACCUCAGGGGUAGGGGUGAAAUCUUGUGAUCCCUGAGGGACCACCAGUGGCGAAGGCGGCUUCCUGGCCUGCACCUGACGCUGAGAGGCGAAAGCUAGGGGAGCGAACGGG
rnacentral:rRNA from 1 species